rnacentral:rRNA from 1 species
UACGUAGGGGGCAAGCGUUGUCCGGAUUUAUUGGGCGUAAAGAGCGUGUAGGCGGCCUGAAAGGUCAGCUGUGAAAACUCGAGGCUCAACCUCGAGACGUCGGUUGAAACCAUCUGGCUAGAGUCCGGAAGAGGAGUGUGGAAUUCCCCGGUGUAGCGGUGAAAUGCGCAGAUAUCGGGAAGAACACCCGUGGCGAAGGCGGCACUCUGGGACGGUACUGACGCUGAGGAGCGAAAGCAUGGGGAGCGAACAGG